rnacentral:rRNA from 1 species
GAGUUUGAUCGUGGCUCAGAACGAACGCUGGCGGCAGGCUUUACACAUGCAAGUCGAGCGGCAGCGCGGGGCAACCUGGCGGCGAGCGGCGAACGGGUGAGUAAUGCAUCGGAACAUGUCCAUUUGUGGGGGGAUAGCCCGGCGAAAGCCGGAUUAAUACCGCAUGAGCCCGAGAGGGGAAAGUGGGGGACUCGAAAGGGCCUCACGCGAAUGGGUUGGCCGAUGUCCGAUUAGCUAGUUGGUGGGGUAAAGGCUCACCAAGGCGAUGAUUGGUAGCUGGUCUGAGAGGAUGAUCAGCCACACUGGGACUGAGACACGGCCCAGACUCCUACGGGAGGCAGCAGUGGGGAAUUUUGGACAAUGGGGGCAACCCUGAUCCAGCCAUUCCGCGUGAGUGGAGAAGGCCUUCGGUUGUAAG